GAUGAAGAACGCAGCGAAAUGCGAUAAGUAGCGUGAAUUGCAGAAUUCAGUGAAUCAUCGAAUCUUUGAACGCACAUUGCGCCCCUUGGUAUUCCAUGGGGCAUGCCUGUUCGAGCGUCAUUUGUACCUUCAAGCUCUGCUUGGUGUUGGGUGUUUGUCUCGCCUCUGCGCGUAGACUCGCCUCAAAACAAUUGGCAGCCGGCGUAUUGAUUUCGGAGCGCAGUACAUCUCGCGCUUUGCACUCAUAACGACGACGUCCAAAAGUACAUUUUUACACUCUUGACCUCGGAUCAGGUAGGGAUACCCGCUGAACUUAAGCAUAUCAAUAAGCGGAGGA
rnacentral:misc_RNA from 1 species